CAUACACUGAGCUCAAAGAUGAGCAACACUGCAAAUGGAUCUUUUCACUUCCAGGAAAAUACCGUUCAUAUUUUUUAAACAUUUGGUUCCAUUGUUUUCUCUGUAAGCCCUUUGAAUAACUAGCGUCUUUCUCGUUUUUUAGGUUGUACUUAUCUACAGAACUAGAAAACCCCCAUUUUUUCCCAUCCGUUUAUAACUUCGUUACUAUCAUCAACUUCACGGUGACAUUCCAAGGCUUGCAAGAUGAACUCCUGUCUACAGUAGUAAGUCACGAAGUUCCGCACUUAGAAAAUCAACGGGCCCAGUUAUUGGAGAGCAUUUCUCUUGAUGCCAUAACUCUGGAGGAACUGGAGGAUAAAACAUUGACCUUGCUCCAGAAAACAGAAGGAAGUGUGUUAGAUGAUGAAGAGAUUGUAGAAACCCUGAGAAAAUCCAAAAUUACUUCCAAUGAGAUUUCCAAACGCAUCAAAAAAACAGAAAAAGCAGAGAGUGAAAUUCAAGCAACUCGCAAGAACUACCUUCCCAUCGCCACGCGGGGCGCCCUGCUUUACUUCGUGGUGGCCAGCCUCAGGCAGGUGGGGUAUAUGUACCAGUUCUCCCUGGAGUGGCUCCGGAAGGUUUUUGUUUCCUCUACAGUUUCCAAAACCAAAGACGAAAAGCCUGAUUGGAAGACAGAUGACACUUCUCAGGAAAAAGUCGAUGAGGUUUCCCUAAGUCCCUCAGACCAAGAGAACCUGGAGAGUGAGAGGACUCCCUUAGCUGAGAAUAUCAAAAAUGUGAUAGACACGCUGACAAGAAAUGUGUUUAAGGUGGGUUUCCCAGCACUGCCUCUCAGGCUCGCAUGACAGACGCGGUCUCUGAAGGUGCCCUCGUGUGACAGAUGUGGUCUCUGUAGGUGGUCUCUUCGGCUCUAUUUAAUGAGCAUAAACUCUGCUUCUCCUUCCGACUUUGCACGACCAUCAUGAGGGAUCAUUCCAGUGACACUCUGACAGCAGACGACAUAGGAUUCCUACCAGAAGAGGAAUGGAACAUCUUUUUAUAUACUGGCAUUUUGAUAAAUAUUAAAAAUAUAUUCUCCAAGCCUAGACUAAAUAGUAAGUACAAGUAAUGUCUCUGAAUGUAUUUAAAAAACACUAAAAUAUGUUUCCUUGUAAAAUAUUAAAAGGUUUUGAGGGUUUCUACUCUGUAAUUGAGCUAAGUUCUAUA
rnacentral:lncRNA from 14 species